GCCUCCUGCAUAGCCAUGAGCCAUGGUGCCUGACUUUAUUAUUAAUAUUAUUAUUAUUAAAGGUCUGUGCCAGUCAUUACUCUAAAUGUUUGACAUCCAUUAACAUAGUUCUUUCUCACUACAAUCUUGUGAGAUAGAUGCUAUUAUAGCCCCAUUUUGCAGAUGAGAAAACUGAGCCACAAAGGGCCCAAAUAACUGGCCCAGGUAAAACAAUCUCCUGACUAGUAGAAAUAACCGAAAGUUAUAAUGUCUGUGUCAUCUUGUGUUAGCCCACCGAAUUCCUCUCCCCCCUCUCGUCACAAAUGUUAUGACUAAAGUGAGGGGAAAUAAUUAGAAAUAUAGCGCUUCUCACUUUCGCCUGAAGCCGUGGGGAGCCAGCGAGAUUUAGCAUAGAUGUAUUUCGAAGGGGGAAACCCAGACCGCUGUAAUUAGCCUCUGAGCUAGAAGCCGGGUGAAAUACCUUUAAAAAGGUGAUAAAGAGCUAAUUACCCUACCUUCAUCUGAGGCAAAAUAUCAAGAAACAGGGUGAAGAGUAAUAAGAAAAAUUAAUUAGAGGCAAGGUAAAAAUGGAAAAGGAAGAUCAAGAUGAAAAAGAGAAAAGCCCUGUGGUCUAUUCCCCAGAUUGUCUUCCUGUUUUCUAGAGUCGACAGCAUGGCUUGGGAAGGUUUGCGUGGUUUGUGCAUGCUAGAGCAGCCUUCGCAGAAGUCUGUCCCCUGGACAUCCAAAAUGCAUGUAGGAAAAAGACAAAAAACACUAAACAAGAGUCCAGGAUCUCAUGUACCAGCAAUCUGGGGAGACCCUGUCUGCACAGUUGUUUAAUGCAGGCCUUCUCAGAGCCUUUAAUGCAAAUUGUGAGUUAAUGGUUCAAAAGGGGCAGAGGAAAUGCAGCCUUUGCCAAACUCAUCUGAAAAUGAAACCCAUUUGUCAAAGAACAUGUUGUAGGACUAAAGUUUAAAAGAAUCCCGUUUGGGGUAAUGGUGUUCUAAAGUAAAAUAAAUCCCAAACAAACAAAUAAAUAAAUAAACGUGUGAUACAUCUGUUUUUCUGCCAUUACCUGAUACCUACUUGGUGACAUGAAAUUCGAGUCGGUGAACACAGAUGAGAGGAAGCUUGUUGAGGCCUUUGGAACCUUAGAAAUGAAAGUCUUUGCAUGAAUGCACCAGAUCCUUCUCUCCCCUGAACCAGGAGACUCUCAGCACUUCCUGCUUUGCCACACAGCCCAAAAGCAGCCAGGGAAGGACGGAGUUCACCAUAGGCCUUGUCCAAGAAAAAGCGAGAAGCUCCAGAUUUCCUCGCUGGGACGAGAGCCAGGCUCUGGCCAGUGGGCUGUCGCCUGUCCGUAUUACGCACAAGCUGGGAAGCGCCAACCCAAGCCGCAGCUCCUGGGACCGGGGCGCGUCUUCCCACCAGCUUCCUCACCGGCCGGCCCAACCUCCCAUGACAGUGUUGCUGUCCAUCCUGACAGCCGGGUCGGAAGCCACAAGCCCCCCUCUCACUCCCUCACCAAGCCCGGCCACUCCUCCCUACACCUGUCCUUGGAGUCCAGCCUCCCCUUGCACCCCAGUCGAGGCCUCGCCAUCUCCAGCAGGCACUUUACCGCCACCCCGGGACUGGCCUCCCUCCUGAGCUCCACUGUGGGAAGAAUCUGAUCUCAUUAAAUCAGUUCCUAGCUUGAAAUCAUGACUGUUCCUGGCCAGAGGCAUGCACACAUGAAACAACAUUCAUGAUCCGGCCCCAGACUGCUCCCCAGCUCACCUCUGGCCGGGCACUGCACGGCCCUCCCACCAGCCACGCUGGCAGUCCACCAUUUGUGGCACAGCACUCUAGCAUUAUUUAUUUCUAUCCUUCCCACUCUUCCCUUCCCCAUGUCCCUAGAAAACUCCUAUUCAGCCAUCAAAACCCUCAUCACAUGCCACCUUCUGUCCUCUGCUCAGAGUUACUGACAUUGUCCUUGGGCACGUCUCUCCCUUCCUCUGCAGUAGCACUCACUACGCCACACCAUGGGGGCUGCCAUCUGUCACCUCAUUUGGGGGAAAGGACCCAUGUCAUUUGUUUUCAUGUCCCCGAACCUUGCAUGUGUUCCCAGGUAAGUGUUAAACCGUGCGAGGGUGGAUGCCAGGGAGCUCCCUGCCUGCAUGCUGUGACCUCCUCGCGGCCCACUCUCUGCAUCGUGCUGACUGAUGAGGGAGGAAGGAGGAAGAGGCAGCAGCUCUUCCCUUUGUUCUCUCUCUCCCCCAUCACUGGAUACAGCCAGCAUCAGUCAUUCAGGUCAAAAUAUGGAAGAGCUGUGUGGAAACCAGAGUGUCAUUUGCAGGAGGGGCUGUGUGCUGGGCACAGACAGGUCCAUUUCAGUACGGGGUGGUGACUAAGGCCAUAGCACUGCCAGGGACAGCAGCCUCCGGCCACAGAGAAGCUCCCGGAGUGCUCGGGGCAGCCAGGCCAGAAGCUCAGGGAGGGCAGAGAGUGCCGGGAGGGACAGGAAAACUCAAGGCCGUGUCACCAUUUUGACUCUUGCUUAUGGUUCAUAGUUGGGGAGUGGUAUUUUUGUUCAUUUUGCACUUACUUCAAGCCCUGGUCACAGUGAAAGCACUUUUGGAAAUUAUCCCCUAAACUGUUAUUUCUUGCUUAUCUGCUGAAUUAUAAUUAAUAUUUCAACUAUAUAUCGUAUUGGGAGCCUCAUACAAACGAGUGGGAUCUCUCCUGUUACCCAAGUCCCACCUGCAGGACUAUAAACAGGACAUUUUCAUGGAUUCCUGGUAAUGGAAUUAUUGUCAGCCGUAAAAGACCUCCCUCAUGUAAGAAAGCGCAGUGCCAUGCAGUUCCUGAAUAAAAUUCUGGAAUGAGUUGAACCACUGGAGUUAAAUCAAUACAUUUAGAAAACCUAGGACCAAGUAAACAGGAGGGUAGAACUGUGCAGUGGACAGGAGCAUCCGUCGUGGGGAGAAAGGGUCAAGUCACCCACCCAAUCUCAAGACAGGGGCAGUCACCAGCGUUUUCCACAUCAAAGGUUUUAAUCUUAGAAAAAGGAUCAUA